UACAGAGGUCUCGAGCGUUGUUCGGAUUCAUUGGGCGUAAAGGGUGCGUAGGUGGCUAGGUAAGUCGGAUGUGAAAGCCCUGGGCUCAACCCAGGAACUGCAUCCGAAACUGCGGGCCUGGAGUGGUGGAGAGGGAAGCAGAAUUCCUGGUGUAGAGGUGAAAUUCGUAGAUAUCAGGAGGAACACCGGUGGCGAAGGCGGCUUCCUGGACACUUACUGACGCUGAGACGCGAAAGCGUGGGGAGCAAACAGGG
rnacentral:rRNA from 1 species